rnacentral:lncRNA from 1 species
GAAAGAAAUCAUAAGGAGGAAAUGGACCGGACUAGUACAAGUAUGAUUUGCUUAUGCCGCCAAGUGUGAAGUUGCACUUGAGAAUAAAUGAUCUCCUCACCUGCUAACACCACACAAGAGCUGAAGAAGGAAAACAAAGAAGGAGAAUCAGAGAAGACUAUCGGGAGGAAUUCAGAACAUCUUCACCUGGAUUUUCAUCGGUAUGUAGAAAUGUACAUGGUCAGAGCUGAAGGGAUAAUCUAACUUUUGACUUUCUCCUAUAUUUUGCAGCUUAUUGAAGGGCACAACUGUCCAUCCCAAGUCUUCCAAGCCCAAAUCCUGGGGUGACUUUUAACUCCUUUUUAAAAUUUUUUAAAAAAGUUUAUUUAUUUUUGAGAAAGGGAGAGAGAGAAUGCAUGAGUGAGGGAGGGGGGAGAGAGAGAGAGAAGGAGGGAGAGAAUCCCAAGCAGGCUCCAUACUGUCAGCAACAGGAGCCCUCUGUGGGCUUAGACCCACGAAUGUGAGAUUGUGAUCUGAGCCAAAAUCAAGAGCCAGACGCUUAACCCGCUAAGCCACCCAGGUGCCCCUUGACUCUUUUCUUAAAAAAAAAAAAAAAAAAUCAUAUUUAAUGAGUCAGCAAAUGCUAACGAUCUUCCCUCCACAAGUUCCUGACAUGUGCUCACGUUUCCCAAAUCUUCCACACUUUCAUCUUACCCUGUUUCAGGUACUCGUCAUCUCUUUCCUGGAACGCUGUGCCCACCUCCCGACUGGCUUUCCUGUUUCCAGUCUUUCCUCCCUCGUAUCUAUUCUCCAUCACCGGUAUGAGUCAUUGAUCUACAACAACAUCUAUCUGACUGUGUCACCACUGUCAGCAGUUCCCAAUGACAUGACUGUGGUAUUCCUCAAACUCAGCGAACCUCAAAGAUGGACCCCUGAGGAAAGCUUCACAUGUGAGAUAAAUGCACUCAGAGACUCCUCACAAGUAGCUCUUUGGAGCUUCAGAUGUGAAAUGGAUCAUUCCUCAAUCUGUAAUAGACCCUUCUGUGAAGCUCUUCAAUCAAACCUGAGAAUUCAAGGUUUGCAUUUAAAACGCUCUUGGAGCACUAAUUGUAUGAAAUUCUGGUAGCUGCACAUUCUCUUUUUGGAGAGGUAAUGAGUGAAUGAAUGAAAAGGCAGGGAUCAUUUGCCAUUCUAAGAGCGGGGAUUGUCAGAAUAUUUCUACUUGACUGAAAUUGUUUUGGAAGGUGAGCUGGAACAAGAAUCUUGCAACUAAAAUGACGUGACUCUGCAUGUGGUUUGGGGAUGUUUCUCUUCUCUGCAGAGCUGUUCUGAGACUUGGAAGUUGACUUAGAUUUUAUUUAUAAGGUGAAUCCUGUGAAAACAUCUUAAAGUACGCAUCUUUGAGUCUUAACAAGUAGGCGGGAGUCUUUGGAAAGCUCAUUUGGAGUUAUUUGAAAAGACUUUUCCUGUUACUAUCACAGUGUUUUUUCAAGAUACAGAUUGCCAGGUUGUGACAAAAUAAAUUAUUGAAAGCUUUGAAAAGUUUUUAGAAA